CCUACGGGAGGCAGCAGUGGGGAAUAUUGGACAAUGGGGGCAACCCUGAUCCAGCCAUGCCGCGUGUGUGAAGAAGGCCCUCGGGUUGUAAAGCACUUUCAGUGAGGAAGAACGCCUGGUGGUUAAUACCCAUCAGGAAAGACAUCACUCACAGAAGAAGCACCGGCUAAACUCCGUGCCAGCAGCCGCGGUAAUACGGAGGGUGCGAGCGUUAAUCGGAAUUACUGGGCGUAAAGCGCGCGUAGGUGGCUUGCUAAGCCGGUUGUGAAAGCCCCGGGCUCAACCUGGGAACGGCAUCCGGAACUGUCAAGUUAGAGUGCAGGAGAGGAAGGUAGAAUUCCCGGUGUAGCGGUGAAAUGCGUAGAGAUCGGGAGGAAUACCAGUGGCGAAGGCGGCCUUCUGGACUGACACUGACACUGAGGUGCGAAAGCGUGGGUAGCAAACAGGAUUAGAUACCCGUGUAGUC
rnacentral:rRNA from 1 species